CCUACGGGAGGCAGCAGUGGGGAAUAUUGCACAAUGGGCGAAAGCCUGAUGCAGCAACGCCGCGUGCGGGAUGACGGCCUUCGGGUUGUAAACCGCUUUCAGUACCGACGAAGCGCAAGUGACGGUAGGUACAGAAGAAGCACCGGCCAACUACGUGCCAGCAGCCGCGGUAAUACGUAGGGUGCGAGCGUUGUCCGGAAUUAUUGGGCGUAAAGGGCUCGUAGGCGGUUUGUCGCGUCGGGAGUGAAAACGCCGUGCUUAACACGGCGCUUGCUUUCGAUACGGGCAGACUAGAGGUAUGCAGGGGAGAACGGAAUUCCUGGUGUAGCGGUGAAAUGCGCAGAUAUCAGGAGGAACACCGGUGGCGAAGGCGGUUCUCUGGGCAUUACCUGACGCUGAGGAGCGAAAGUGUGGGGAGCGAACAGGAUUAGAUACCCUGGUAGUCCACACCGUAAACGUUGGGCGCUAGGUGUGGGGUCCAUUCCACGGAUUCCGUGCCGCAGCUAACGCAUUAAGCGCCCCGCCUGGGGAGUACGGCCGCAAGGCUAAAACUCAAAGGAAUUGACGGGGGCCCGCACAAGCGGCGGAGCAUGCGGAUUAAUUCGAUGCAACGCGAAGAACCUUAC
rnacentral:rRNA from 1 species